rnacentral:rRNA from 1 species
AUCACUUCUGGAUGGACCCGCGGCGUAUUAGCUAGUUGGUGAGAUAAAGGCUCACCAAGGCAGUGAUACGUAGCCGACCUGAGAGGGUAAUCGGCCACAUUGGGACUGAGACACGGCCCAGACUCCUACGGGAGGCAGCAGUAGGGAAUCUUCCACAAUGGACGCAAGUCUGAUGGAGCAACGCCGCGUGAGUGAUGAAGGCUUUCGGGUCGUAAAACUCUGUUGUUGGAGAAGAACGUGUGUGAGAGUAACUGCUCAUGCAGUGACGGUAUCCAACCAGAAAGCCACGGCUAACUACGUGCCAGCAGCCGCGGUAAUACGUAGGUGGCAAGCGUUAUCCGGAUUUAUUGGGCGUAAAGCGAGCGCAGGCGGUCUUUUAAGUCUAAUGUGAAAGCCUUCGGCUUAACCGAAGAAGUGCAUUGGAAACUGGGAGACUUGAGUGCAGAAGAGGAGAGUGGAACUCCAUGUGUAGCGGUGAAAUGCGUAGAUAUAUGGAAGAACACCAGUGGCGAAGGCGGCUCUCUGGUCUGCAACUGACGCUGAGGCUCGAAAGCAUGGGUAGCGAACAGGAUUAGAUACCCUGGUAGUCCAUGCCGUAAACGAUGAAUGCUAAGUGUUGGAGGGUUUCCGCCCUUCAGUGCUGCAGCUAACGCAUUAAGCAUUCCGCCUGGGGAGUACGACCGCAAGGUUGAAAACACAAAAAAUAGAGGGGGGCCCGCACAAGCGGUGGAGCAUGUGGUUUAAUUCGAAGCUACGCGAAGAACCUUACCAGGUCUUGACAUCUUCUGCUAACCUAAGAGAUUAGGCGUUCCCUUCGGGGACGGAAUGACAGGUGGUGCAUGGUUGUCGUCAGCUCCUGUCUGGAGAUGUUGGGUUAAGUCCCGCAACGAGCGCAACCCUUAUUAUUAGUUGCCAGCAUUAAGUUGGGCACUCUAUUGAGACUGCCGGUGACAAACCGGAGGAAGGU